rnacentral:rRNA from 1 species
CCUACGGGAGGCAGCAGUGAGGAAUAUUGGUCAAUGGACGAGAGUCUGAACCAGCCAAGUAGCGUGAAGGAUGACUGCCCUAUGGGUUGUAAACUUCUUUUAUAUGGGAAUAAAAUGUUCCACGUGUGGGAUUUUGUAUGUACCAUAUGAAUAAGGAUCGGCUAACUCCGUGCCAGCAGCCGCGGUAAUACGGAGGAUCCGAGCGUUAUCCGGAUUUAUUGGGUUUAACGGGAGCGUAGGUGGAUUGUUAAGUCAGUUGUGAAAGUUUGCGGCUCAACCGUAAAAUUGCAGUUGAAACUGGCAGUCUGGAGUACAGUAGAGGUGAGCGGAAUUCGUGGUGUAGCGGUGAAAUGCUUAGAUAUCACGAAGAACUCCGAUUGCGAAGGCAGCUCACUGGACUGCAACUGACACUGAGGCUCGAAAGUGUGGGUAUCAAACAGGAUUAGAUACCCGAGUAGUC